AUCCUAUUUCGUCCACAAUAUUUCGCUAGUAACACGCGAUAAUUAUCGCCUCUAAAGGGCGAAAGUUAGUACUAAAUUUCGCAUGUCUUAAAUUUCGCUAGUCUCUAACGCGAUAAUUAUCGCCCUUUCAAAAGACCACAGACACUUAUACUAGCGAAAUUUAACAAUUUCGCCUCGAUAAUUAUCGUCUUAAUUUUCGUAUGUUGUAUGUUUCUCACGCGAUAAUUAUCGCUUUGAAGGGCGCUAAUUAUCGCAUAAGAGACUAGCGAAAUUUAAUUAUAUGCGAAAUUUAGUACCAAAUUUCGCCCUUCGAAAUUAUGGCGGGAAAAAAACACGUGCUAACGGUGUUACGGUAAAACUGUGCUGUGUCUUCACCGGUAAGAAAUGGCAGAGACUGAAGAAUUGGACACUUUUGUCAGACAAUAAUUCAUGGACGGUCUGACAAAUUCGGAAAUUCAGACACUUCUGAAACUUACUAAGGGGAUACAUGUUAGCCUAAGAACAGUAAGAAGAAUGUUAGAACGGCAAAACCUUCACAGAAGACAUUGGACACUAACUUAGUUCGUGCAGCUCUUUUGAAUUCAACAGAAUAAACAGAAUUCUUCGUUUGAUGCAUGAAAUGGACCCUGGUGGUGUAAACAUGAGGAGAAGCAAUUCCCGUACCAUAAUCUGGGACCAAAUUUUAUGAUACAUGUUGAUGGUUAUGAUAUGGACUCGCCAUUCAUGGAGCAAUUUGUGGGUACUAGAGAUCAUAAAGUUUCUUCCAAUUAUUCAGAUUCGGAAAACAUGGAAGCUACAGUUUCUACCCACCCAAUCUAUGGAUAAAAUGCUGAACAGUUAAAACAGUUACUGGCAAACAAUGGCAAAGAAAUGUCAUCUACAUGUAAUGAAGCAUUAAGUCUAUACCAGUGGCUGAAACUUCGUGUUUAAAGGACAUAUAUAAUUGUAAUAUCACAAACCGUGUAGGCCAUUAAUGUAUAAUUAUAUAUCACCAUUUACAUGCUGAGGACUUAUAAUAUUAAGGCGUGAAUGGUGGUCAUUUCAUUUUUCCAUGUUUAAAAUUGACAAAUUUGUUACUGUAACAAUUGAGUAAUCUAUAUUUUAUGGCUAAAAGUACUAUGGUUUUAUAUUUGAAU